GCCUGGGUGGCUCAGUCCGUUGAGCGUCCGACUUCAGCUCAGGUCAUGAUCUCACAGUUUGUGGGUUCAAGCCCCGCUUCAGGCU
rnacentral:tRNA from 1 species